GAUGAACGCUGGCGGCGUGCCUAAUACAUGCAAGUCGAGCGAACGGACGAGAAGCUUGCUUCUCUGAUGUUAGCGGCGGACGGGUGAGUAACACGUGGAUAACCUACCUAUAAGACUGGGAUAACUUCGGGAAACCGGAGCUAAUACCGGAUAAUAUUUUGAACCGCAUGGUUCAAAAGUGAAAGACGGUCUUGCUGUCACUUAUAGAUGGAUCCGCGCUGCAUUAGCUAGUUGGUAAGGUAACGGGUUACCAAGGCAACGAUGCAUAGCCGACCUGAGAGGGUGAUCGGCCACCCUGGAACGGAGACACGGUCCAUACUCCUACGGGAGGCAGCAGUAGGGAAUCUUCCGCAAUGGGCGAAAGCCUGACGGAGCAACGCCGCGUGAGUUAUGAAGGUCUUCGGAUCGUAAAACUCUGUUAUUAGGGAAGAACAUAUGUGUAAGUAACUGUGCACAUCUUGACGGUACCUAAUCAGAAAGCCACGGCUAACUACGUG
rnacentral:rRNA from 1 species